rnacentral:rRNA from 1 species
GACGAACGCUGGCGGCGUGCUUAAUACAUGCAAGUCAACUGAACUUGAGGUAGCAAUAUCUUAAGGGAGGUGGCGCACGGGUGAGUAACGCGUAGGCAAUCUACCUUUGGGUCUGAAAUAACCCCGAGAAAUCAGGGCUAAUGUCAGAUAAUGCAGCGGCUCCGCAUGGAGAUUGUUGUUAAAACUUCGGUGCCUAAAGAUGAGCCUGCGUCCCAUUAGAUAGUUGGCGGGGUAACGGCCCACCAAGUCCUCGAUGGGUAGCUGGUCUGAGAGGAUGAUCAGCCACACUGGAACUGAGACACGGUCCAGACUCCUACGGGUGGCUG